rnacentral:miRNA from 1 species
GGACAAGGUGCGCAUGCCCGACCCGUUGUCAGACCUGGAAAAAGGGCCAGGGCUGUGGGCGGGGAAGGCGUUCGCAGCUUGUCC